GAUGAACGCUGGCGGCGUGCCUAAUACAUGCAAGUCGAGCGAACGGACGAGAAGCUUGCUCCUCUGACGUUAGCGGCGGACGGGUGAGUAACACGUGGAUAACCUAUCUAUAAGACUGGGAUAACUUCGGGAAACCGGAGCUAAUACCGGAUGAUAUUUUGAACCGCAUGGUUCAAUAGUGAAAGACGGUCUUGCUGACACUUAUAGAUGGAUCCGCGCUGCAUUAGCUAGUUGGUAAGGUAACGGCUUACCAAGGCAACGAUGCAUAGCCGACCUGAGAGGGUGAUCGGCCACACUGGAACUGAGACACGGUCCAGACUCCUACGGGAGGCAGCAGUAGGGAAUCUUCCGCAAUGGGCGAAAGCCUGACGGAGCAACGCCGCGUGAGUGAUGAAGGUCCUCGGAUCGUAAAACUCUGUUAUUAGGGAAGAACAAAUGUGUAAGUAACUAUGCACGUCUUGACGGUACCUAAUCAGAAAGCCACGGCUAACUACGUG
rnacentral:rRNA from 1 species